UACGGGGGGGGCGAGCGUUGUUCGGAAUUAUUGGGCGUAAAGGGAGCGUAGGCGGUGCGGUAAGUUUGGUGUGAAACCUCCAGGCUUAACUUGGAGCUGGCAUCAAAUACUGCCGUGCUAGAGUGUGGGAGAGGAGAGUGGAAUUCCCGGUGUAGCGGUGAAAUGCGUAGAUAUCUGCAGGAACACCCGUGGCGAAAGCGGCGCGCUGGACCACUACUGACGCUGAGGAACGAAAGCUAGGGGAGCAAACAGG
rnacentral:rRNA from 1 species